CAGCAGCCGCCGCGGUAAUACGAAGGGUGCAAGCGUUACUCGGAAUUACUGGGCGUAAAGCGUGCGUAGGCGGCUUCUUAAGUCGGAUGUGAAAUCCCUGAGCUUAACUUAGGAAUUGCAUUCGAUACUGGGAAGCUAGAGUAUGGGAGAGGAUGGUAGAAUUCCAGGUGUAGCGGUGAAAUGCGUAGAGAUCUGGAGGAAUACCGAUGGCGAAGGCAGCCACCUGGCCUAAUACUGACGCUGAGGUACGAAAGCAUGGGGAGCAAACAGGAUUAGAUACCCCCGUAGUCCCUGUCUCUUAUAC
rnacentral:rRNA from 1 species